UACGAAGGGGGCUAGCGUUGUUCGGAAUUACUGGGCGUAAAGCGCACGUAGGCGGAUAUUUAAGUCAGGGGUGAAAUCCCGGGGCUCAACCCCGGAACUGCCUUUGAUACUGGGUAUCUCGAGUCCGAGAGAGGUGAGUGGAAUUCCGAGUGUAGAGGUGAAAUUCGUAGAUAUUCGGAAGAACACCAGUGGCGAAGGCGACUUACUGGACGAUUGUUGACGCUGAGGUGCGAAAGCGUGGGGAGCAAACAGG
rnacentral:rRNA from 1 species